rnacentral:rRNA from 1 species
GUUGAACGCUGGCGGCAGGCUUAACACAUGCAAGUCGAGCGGAGAGAGGUAGCUUGCUACUGAUCUUAGCGGCGGACGGGUGAGUAAUGCUUAGGAAUCUGCCUAUUAGUGGGGGACAACAUUUCGAAAGGAAUGCUAAUACCGCAUACGUCCUACGGGAGAAAGCAGGGGAUCUUCGGACCUUGCGCUAAUAGAUGAGCCUAAGUCGGAUUAGCUAGUUGGUGGGGUAAAGGCCUACCAAGGCGACGAUCUGUAGCGGGUCUGAGAGGAUGAUCCGCCACCCUGGGACUGAGACACGGCCCAGACUCCUACGGGAGGCAGCAGUGGGGAAACCCUGAUCCAGCCAUGCCGCGUGUGUGAAGAAGGCCUUAUGGUUGUAAAGCACUUUAAGCGAGGAGGAGGCUACUGAGACUAAUACCUGGGAUAAGUGGACGUUACUCGCAGAAUAAGCACCGGCUAACUCUGUGCCAGCCGCCGCCGUAA